ensembl:miRNA
UGUGAUUAACAAACAGUUAUUUGACGUUUUCCUCCCAUACUGUUUGUUAAUCACACU